rnacentral:rRNA from 1 species
UGGGGAAUUUUGGACAAUGGGCGCAAGCCUGAUCCAGCCAUGCCGCGUGCAGGAAGAAGGCCUUCGGGUUGUAAACUGCUUUUGUCAGGGAAGAAAUCUUCUGGGCUAAUACCCUGGAAGGCUGACGGUACCUGAAGAAUAAGCACCGGCUAACUACGUGCCAGCAGCCGCGGUAAUACGUAGGGUGCAAGCGUUAAUCGGAAUUACUGGGCGUAAAGCGUGCGCAGGCGGUUCUAUAAGACAGAGGUGAAAUCCCCGGGCUCAACCUGGGAACUGCCUUUGUGACUGUAGAGCUAGAGUACGGUAGAGGGGGAUGGAAUUCCGCGUGUAGCAGUGAAAUGCGUAGAUAUGCGGAGGAACACCGAUGGCGAAGGCAAUCCCCUGGACCUGUACUGACGCU